UACGGAGGGUGCCAGCGUUAUCCGGAUUCACUGGGUUUAAAGGGUGCGUAGGUGGGUUGGUAAGUCAGUGGUGAAAUCCUUGAGCUUAACUCGAGAACUGCCAUUGAUACUGAAGAUCUUGAGUUCGGGAGAGGUGAGUGGAACUGCGAGUGUAGAGGUGAAAUUCGUAGAUAUUCGCAAGAACACCAGUGGCGAAGGCGGCUCACUGGCCCGAUACUGACGCUGAGGCACGAAAGCGUGGGGAGCAAACAGG
rnacentral:rRNA from 1 species